GAGACAGAGAAAUGUGAGAGACUGAAUGAGAAGUAAAUCAAAUAAAAUACCUGACUUUUUCACCCAGACCAGAAUAACACAAUUGGCAACAGACUGCAUGCGCUAGGCCACCGCCACCUCUUACAUUAUCGGCAAUAUCGGUAACAAUAGUGUCCAAUACCCAUAUUUGUCAAAAUCAGGAAUAUAGGCCGAUAAUAUCGGCAAAAACGACAAUCGUCGAUCCCUACUUCUUAAAGUCCAACGUAUG